rnacentral:piRNA from 1 species
CAUGUGUCUAACAUGAUAAACUUGUUCACAUG